GAGAGAUCAACCAGGAGACUGUGGGAGGAUGUGAGCUCUCUGAGAAGGAGAAGAAGUAUUUACAUUAGAAGUCUGAUUCACAGGUCGGGGCAAAGUGAAAAACAUCUGCACUUUUAAAAGAUCAUCAGGAUACUUGCCAACAAGGUCACAGUGGACUCCAUGGAGCAACUGCCCUCAGGAGGCAACAGGUCACAGUGUUUGGACACCGCAUGAACAUGCCAAUUUCCUGUGUUGUAAUAUUUUUAUGCACUUUAAGAAGACCACCAGAAACAGCAGAGUGAGUGAAUGACUGAGGCGCAUAUUGGACAAAAAUCAC
rnacentral:lncRNA from 10 species